AACGAACGCUGGCGGCAUGCCUAACACAUGCAAGUCGAACGGGCGGUAGCAAUACCGUCAGUGGCAGACGGGUGCGUAACGCGUGGGAACCUACCCUAAGGUUCGGAAUAACUGCGGGAAACUGCAGCUAAUACCGGAUGUUGCCCGAGGGCUAAAGGAGCAAUCCGCCUUUGGAGGGCCCGCGUCCGAUUAGCUAGUUGGUGAGGUAACGGCUCACCAAGGCGACGAUCGGUAGCUGGCUGAGAGGAUGGCCAGCCACA
rnacentral:rRNA from 1 species